rnacentral:rRNA from 1 species
GACGAACCGUGCAAACGUUGUUCGGAAUCACUGGGCUUAAAGGCGCGUAGGCGGAUCGUUAAGUCGGGGGUGAAAUCCUGGAGCUCAACUCCAGAACUGCCUUCGAUACUGGCGAUCUUGAGUCCGGGAGAGGUGAGUGGAACUGCGAGUGUAGAGGUGAAAUUCGUAGAUAUUCGCAAGAACACCAGUGGCGAAGGCGGCUCACUGGCCCGGUACUGACGCUGAGGUGCGAAAGCGUGGGAGUAAACAGG